GCCUCGAUAGCUCAGUUGGCUGGAGCAUGGUGCUGAUAACGCCAAGGUUGCAGGUUUGAUUCCCGUAUGGGGCA